AAUUUAGAUGGUCAAGCUACAAAGGGCGCAUGGUGAAUGCCUUGGCACCAGUAGUCGAAGAAGGACGUGAUAAGCUGCGAUAAGCUUCGGGUAGGCGCAAAUAGCCAGUGAUCCGAAGAUUUCCGAAUGGGGCAACCCACACUACUAACGUAGUGUACUGUAAACUGAAUUCAUAGGUUUAUAGGGAUAUACCCGGGGAACUGAAACAUCUAAGUACCCGGAGGAAGAGAAAGAAAAAUCGAUUUCCUAAGUAGCGGCGAGCGAAAGGGAAAGAGCCCAAACCAGGAACUUGUUCCUGGGGUUGCGGACAGAUCAU
rnacentral:rRNA from 1 species